CUGGAAACGGUAGCUAAUACCGCAUAACGUCUUCAGGACCAAAGUGGGGGACCUUCGGACCUCACGCCACCGGAUGUGCCCAGAUGGGAUUAGCUAGUAGGUGGGGUAACGGCUCACCUAGGCGACGAUCCCUAGCUGGUCUGAGAGGAUGACCAGCCACACUGGAACUGAGACACGGUCCAGACUCCUACGGGAGGCAGCAGUGGGGAAUAUUGCACAAUGGGCGCAAGCCUGAUGCAGCCAUGCCGCGUGUAUGAAGAAGGCCUUCGGGUUGUAAAGUACUUUCAGCGGGGAGGAAGGCGGUGAGGUUAAUAACCUCGCCGAUUGACGUUACCCGCAGAAGAAGCACCGGCUAACUCCGUGCCAGCAGCCGCGGUAAUACGGAGGGUGCAAGCGUUAAUCGGAAUUACUGGGCGUAAAGCGCACGCAGGCGGUCUGUUAAGUCAGAUGUGAAAUCCCCGGGCUUAACCUGGGAACUGCAUUUGAAACUGGCAGGCUUGAGUCUCGUAGAGGGGGGUAGAAUUCCAGGUGUAGCGGUGAAAUGCGUAGAGAUCUGGAGGAAUACCGGUGG
rnacentral:rRNA from 1 species